rnacentral:lncRNA from 1 species
UUUUUUUUUUUUUUUUUUUUGUCUUAUCUCUUUCUACUAUUUUUUUUUUUGAGUUCAAAAAAAGACUUUAAACUUUUUUUCUCGUAUGCGAGGGGUGGAAUUUAAGAAAUAGAGAAGGAAAAAAAAUUUUAAUUCAGAAUCUCUACGUUUUAGAAUCUCAACUUUAAUGGCUAAAUUAGUGCUACUUUUACAACAAUUUCAAACUUUACAAAAGAGACAGAAAGAAAAAAGGGAAAAAUUUGAGAGCCAAACGAAGAAACUCACACUAACUUGACUAAUGUUCCUUGGAUGAUGAUCUUUCUACUAAACUAACCACCUGCAUUUGCACGAAUUACACUAUAAAACAAGUAAGCUCAAGACGUUGCUGGGAUUCGUGACUUGAGCGUUGGGGUGACCUAAGCAGUCUAAAUCACAUCAUUUAUAAAAAGCGAGUUUAGAUUACGACAUUCUUAAACGACAAAUACAAACAUAAAAAUUCCUAAGAUUAAAGAGGUGUAUUACGCAUCAGUUUAUUUCUGUCGUUUAAAUCGUGUGUUGUUUAGUAUGGGAUUUUCCUAUAUUUUAUUCCUGGGAACUCUCAGUAUCAUCUAUGAAUUGUAUUCAACUUUGAAGUGACAAUUUGCUUGAAGGAAAAACGGGUUCAUUUCAUUUUGUAUCCUUUAACUAUAUUCAAAUUCUCAAUUUGGUUUCUAAACUUUAAAAUAGGACACUUUGGUCCCUAUAUUAUAAAAUUUGUUGUACUUUAAUUCUUAAAAUAUAGUACUUGUCCAUUUUAGUCCUUAAAGUAUAAAAUUUACCCCAAUUUAGUCCCUAACGUAUAUCCGUUUAAGCAUAAAAUCUAUCUCACUUCCUUCAUGAUUUUACUUAAGUGAACCAAAUUUUACAGUUUAAGGAUUAAAGCGUACUGUUUUAAAGUUUAGGGACCAAAAUGAAAUUUUGGAUAUGGUUGAAGAGUGCAAAAUGGAAUUAACCCCGGAAAAAUCGGAAAAUAAUGACACAAAAGUGUCAAAAUUAACGCAACAGUGAUAAGCCCAAUAGUCUUUUUGUGUUUCCAUUCUGGAGUCUCUCCAUUGUAGGGGUAAAAGGAGCCCACGGAUUUCGGGCCAUCACAUUUUUGUUUUCCCUUAUCUAUGAAAAUUUUGUUGAGCCCAAAAUAUCCAAAACCCACCGAUUGGCGGUUUCCUCUUUCCAACCAAAAUCCACAGCGUCGAAAGGGAAAUUAACACAAAACCUUCCAAACUACGGGUAGCGAAACAAGCGUCCCUUCGACUGUUCUUCAGAACCCCUCAUCAGGUUGGUCCGAUUCUCCCUUGCUUCGUUUGAUUAUUUAAUUUAUCUUAUUAUUUUCGGUAUGCAUAUAUCUUUCUAUACUUGUCGAUUUGGUUUCUUGCUUUUGAGCGCUUUUUUUUUUGGGGACACUUGUACUACACUUGAUUCUUGAUAUUAUUGUUCAUUUCCCCUUACCGUCUUAUUUACUUAAUUUAGUGGGCUGAAAAGUCUGAAGGAAGAUGAUGCUAAUAAAUGAACCCUUUUGUCCUUUUGUCUUUUUAUUCCUGGGAAAAUCACUAGCUUUGUAGAAUUUGUGAGGAGACAAAGAAAGGAUUGGAAUUUUGAACAAGGUCGGGUGUUGUUUCUUGAUAGCGUGGGUAGUUUUGGGUUAGGCGUUGGAAUAGUCAAUCUAGACUUGUUCCUUCUUUUCUUUAAGAGAAUGGGAGAAAGCUCCUUUACAUGAAUGUGAACAUGCAUAAAUGGUUGUAGCUUGAUUCUGAGAAGGAUGAGGAAUUAGCAACUUUUUCCUGAGGACUCCAUUGGGCUAAUGGCCCUUGAUUGCAAAGGGGCAAGCUCGAAUUUGCUACUUUUUUCCGUAUGUAUCUAAUUAAAAAAAAAUAAGGAAAGAAAACUUUGACCUGGGAGUGAUUAAUCAAAAUUUUUCUAGGAUUGAUUUUUUUUUUAUUUUAAAAUUUUUUGGGGUUAUGAAUUAAAUAUUAUGCAUUAAUAUUACUGUGUAUUAUUAAGUAAUCGUGUUUGUGAUGGUUGCAGAAGUUUAUGUCUUGUCUUAUGAUUGAAUCUGGAAGUGACUUUUUGUUUGGACACAUUGCAGAUUAGUUUGUGGCAUGGAGAGAGGAGACAAUGUACUUGAAACCAUUUUUGAAGAUGAGAAUCUCGAAGAUGUUGAGAUGCUUGAUGUAGAAGAGGGAGAGUUGGUUGAGGUUAGUACAGAGGCUGAACAUGGAGAGAGCAAUGCUGGCAUAGAAGUUAAGGUUGGAAAUUCUGAAGGCUGCACCAAUAAUCCAGGAGAAAAGAAGAAUAAGAAGAAGAAGAAGAAGAGCAAGAGAAAGAGAGGCAGUUCAGGUCCUAAUGUGACAAAUAUCAACAGGUGCUUUCCUGCUCUAAGGAUUUUACUACAGCUUCAACUCUUGGAAUGUUUUGUUCUAUUAUUCAAUAAUGAAAUGAUCUCUUAAUAUUAGUAUCUUUCAAGGAUUAUGUCAUUGGUAACCAGUUACUUUGCUGUCAUAUGCAGAUUUGUACUGGAUGUCUGUAGGCGCUUGAAAGAGAGGAAGUCUUAUUUGGUUUGGGCUGCUGUGGGUUGCCUUGGUGUCUCUGCUUUGGGUGAUCUUGUAACAGAGGUAAAAUUCCUGUUUUCCUUCUUUGUUGGGUGGUAUUUAUUUCAAACGUCUAGCCUUUUCUUGUAUGGGAUUUUAAACUUUAUUUCAAAUGAAGGCAUUGUACAUACUGCAACUUUGCCCUUUGUUUCUCUAGUGCAUGGUGUUCAUGAAUAAGUAGUUAACAGCAUCAAAAUGACUUCUUUUUUAUAUCAAUUUUUUCUGAAGUACUCUCAAAUUAGUUGUUGGGAAUUAAUUUGAUUGUCUCAUUUUAUACACAAAUGGAGGAUUAUUUUUCUUUAUUCAUGCAAUCACCAACAAACAUUAAGUUUUGAAAGAUGGGGAUAACAAUGGUCUUGUAUGGUAGAUAAGGAGGUCACUGCCAUUGGUCUUUGUUUCCUGGUAUUUUCAAAAGUAUUAUACAAGUUUUUUGUUCUAGUCGAGAAUGGCUACAUUUGAAUUGAGGGUACAUAAUUUUGGCUUCUGGGCAUCAGCAAGAUUAUACUUGCUAUCUUGGAAAUCACAUAUAUUAUUUCAUGGCUUGUAUAGUUGUAUGGUGUGAAAUUUGGUUUGCGCUUCUGUUUCUUGCAGAAUUUUUCCAUGGACCUUCAUAAACACAUUGUGCUUGUGCUCCUUGUGGUUCUUUGUUUUUUGACUUUAAUUUUAUUAAAUUGCUUAUAUUUAUAUUGUUAGUUCUUCCCUCCCUUGGUAAAUUUCCUGUAGGCCUGUCAUGAAACUGAUGCAUCUUUAACAUUCUAAUAUUAUAUUUAGUAAAAGGGAACAUCUCCCCAUCUCUCUUCAUACUGUUUGCAACUUCCAAGAUGCUCCCAAAUCUACUCCUAUAAGCAUAACUAGAGACAGCAGCUUCUGAUAAACCUUCUGGGAUUCUAUCUAGGCGCAAUUAUGGUAGUUAUGUAAUGACAAUAUGUUAGCAUUAUCUUACACAGGUUGUAAUUGGGAAUAUUAGAGAUCAUUCAUAGACCUUUUUUCUGGUAAAUAGAGAAAUAAAUCACUAAUUGUUACAACCAAAGUGAGAGAUUAUGGUCCAAAAGGUUGCUCAAUUUGUAUCAAGAUCUUCUGCCUUUAUUGAGUUUCUGAUGCCUAUAGUUUCCUAUCCUUUUGCAGAUGCAUCUUGAAGAAGCAUUGUCACUGGUGACAGUGUUGUGGCCCUUCUUAUCUGAAAUAGCUUCAGACUGAACCAUUGACCUUUCAUAUUGGCUUAGGCAGACUAAAAUGGUAUGAUACAGAAAUAUCCACUUGUAUACAACACUUAUCGUAACACCCGUCUCAGACAAUUAGAUAGAAAGAAAGAAGCAGAAUAAAGCGCAGGGGGCAAGGGAAGAGACUAAAAUUUUGUAGUGAAUAAAGUCAAAUUCUCCUUUUCCUCUACUGAAAUAUUGAGUCUUGAAAUAUUUUUCGAUUUAGUUUUAUUGUUGUUCACAUCAGAGUGAAUGAGAGUAUAAUUUCAGCUUCGUAGGUGGACAAUAGUUUUGAUUGCAAUGAAAAGCACUGACAUCAUAUUUGCAGUAGGAAGGAGUUGUGGUAUUUUGUGAUGGAACAAUUAUAUGGACAGAAAAAUAAUUGAUAAAGAAGUGAGCUAAACAAAGUUCUUGUGUUAUUCUUCACUCUGAUGACCAGUUAAUAUAUUGAUGUCAACAUUUUCGCUUCUCCAUUUUUAUAAGUUGGAGUUAAGGAAGGAGUUUUAUUUUGCAUUAAGUGUUGAGCUUGUUAGUUGUUAUUAAUUAUUGAUGUUAAAACGUGAUUCUGAAUAUCAUGAUAAAAUUUUAUGAUUGAAUUUCUAUUUGUAGAAUUUCUUGGAUCUGAGCAUGCAUAUUUAUGGUUAAGAUUGUUUUGCCUUCAAUGUCUUCUUGCUUUAUUAACUUCAAUACUAAUUUACGCAUUACAUUGUAGGUGGAAGCAAUUCAGGCCUGUGGAGGUCAGAAAACUGCAGAUGGUAGACGUUUCCGAACAGGUGGUGGCAUAUUGUGGAGUGUCCUUAAAGUCCGUGAUCCAAAUGCUUACAAAGAGAUUAUGAGAAGAGGAAAGGAAUUUGAGGUAUACUAUCAUUUUGUCUUUGUAUUUGAGCUAAGAAAUUUCUUAUGCGCGCUUCACAUACUGCUUUUUCUGUCUUUCCUGGUUAAAUAUAAGAUUGUAAAAGUUUAGUACAUAAAGCAUACUUAUUCAUGCAUGAUGCACUUUUUUGGCUAUUAGUUUUCAUGUUUCAUGGGUAACUGCAGCUGGUUCCUUAGUAGGAUAAGAUGAUCAAUAUGGUAGCUUGCUCACUCGGGUUUUUGAACUAGAAAUGUGGAACACUAAGAGCAACAAGGGGGAGAGUGAAAAUUGAUUUCUAGCUUAAGUGUAAGGUCGUGUCCACCUUUAGUCCAUUUUAUGGAAUUAGUUUUAUGCUUCUCCCACUAGGUAUGGAGCUAAGCAUCAUCUAAGCUGGAUAAUCUCAUUUGUGGUGUGCACUAAAUCUAUUUAUAAAGCCAAUUUACCAAGAUGCCAUGGUCCUGUUAGUGCCCACCUUUUUUCGGGUAGGAUGCAUCACCCAACGAAUUCGCUAUUGUAGGUUAAAGGUUCAAUUGGAAACAUAGUACGUAAAUCUUAUGCAGUUGCUUGUUUGAGUCCAUUGCCUUUCAUAAGGCUUAUUCUUUGGUUUCCUUAAAUGCCUUGAUAGUGUUGCUGGAUGAAGUUUUUUUGUAAUAGAGAAGUUAUAUGUUGAACUCAAGUAUUUCAGAUAAACAAUUGCUUUUCACUUUCAUUUAUUCCUGAUACCAGUUAUAUGAAAAUUAUGCAGAAGCAAUUUAAGCCACAAAAUGUCAACCUAGAUACCAUGCACAACAAAGAAAACCCUUCCCAAACUACUGGAGAAGUUGUGGAUGGCCUUCAAGAGGCAUCUCAUCAGGAGAACCAGCUCAAACAAAAUACUAGCGAGCGGAAUCGAGUAUCUGUGCAUGAGCGUGUUAGGAUACCAGUUGCAUAUGAUGAUUUGCUUGACGGAGAGAAUCCUGGAGAUGGAGGAGCAUCUGUAGCUUAAAUUGCAUGUUGUUAAUGCUUGAACGACCUCAUUCUAUUAUAUGAGAGAAUUUUUCCAUCUUCUGUGUUUUUUUUUCUGUGGCAUUUUGCGACGCCUUGCAGUAAAUCUUGGGACGAGAAACUACACAUUUUUGAAGUAGGCGAGAGAAUUCUGUAUAUAAUUCGGAAAGUAAAUUUGAAGUUAAAAGCUUACAGGAUGUCUUGAAGGGUUAGCUUUCCGAACGUAUAAUCUGAAUUUUUGUUGGAUGAAUGCUCUUUCUUUUAUUUUGUUAUUCGUGAUUGUCUGACGACAUUUUCACGCAUGCCUUGGAAGCCCAAUAAAGUUCCUCCCACCAUACUGAACUAGUCCUCUGCUUCUGAGCCUCUUCUGCUCUCAUCAAUAAUCAUUAUAACCCUUCUCUAUUUUUGGUUCUCAAGACUGGAGGAGCGAAGGAGACAAAUGGUGUGGGAAAGAAAAUGAAAAAAUAAUAAGAGGGGGAUGGGGCGGUUGUUGAUAACAAAAAAGCAAAAAAAAAAAAAAUUGAGACACUAAAAAUAAAUUCAGGAAUCAUCUGUGUACGUGGUGGAAAGAUCCAUCAGGGUGAUAAUUGAACUACCUUGCGGAUCAGAAUGUGACUUGCACUUGUAUCGUGUUCAAUUAGGAGUUUGCUAGAUGGAUUAAUAAGCAAGAGUAUAUUAGGCAUUACUGCAAAACAGGGUAAGAUUUGUUGAACCAUCUCACGGUCCAAGUUUUGUGUUAUCGAAACACUUCUUCUAUCUAGCACAAGUGCUCCUCCUCCUGUUCUUGUUCUCUGAAACUGCAAUUCUUGGACUCGUGUGCUGAAGACGAAUGUACAGGCAGUUGCUUGUACAUUCCACUUGAUCAUAUCCAAGAAUAACAGUAACAUGCAAAGUUUCUUACAACGCCUAUACUGCCUUCAUCCAGCACAUUAGUCUCAGAGCCUGAGACAAGGUCUCUCGCAGAGCAUUUGCAGGUCUGCAGCCCGAGGAUUUAGGUUAGAGUACAUGGUUGACUCUUUUGCAAGAAGAGGCAGAGGACAGUGCAGUCAUCUCUCUUUGAAUUAGGAAACUUUUGUUUCCACGCUGCUAUUGAUGCAUCGACCACUGCUUUUGCUGCUGCUUCUUCACUAGCCGCUGAAGAAACUAAGGAUGUUACUUGAUCAUUGGAAAGUACAUCCCAAACCUGAAACCAAAUAUGCAAUGACAGAUUAAAAUCCAAAUCGUCUUAUGAUUUAAGCAGAUACAUAGCAAUUUUUUUGGCCAUGGCCAUACCCCAUCUGUCGCCAGAACAAGAAACUGAUCUUUCUGAGACAACUGGUGAUAAGAGACCUCAGGGAUGGCAAUGAUGCCAUGGUUUUUAAGCGCGAAGUCUCCAAAAGCUCGUGACAUGGCUAGGCCGGGAGAAUCAUCCAGUGGUAGCCACACUCGCUGAACAUGUGGUUCUUCCUUCAAUGCAAGCACUCGACCGUUGCACUUCCUUAUUCGAUCUGCUUCCCCUGCAUCAAGAUGAAAUUAAAGCACACACUUCUGUGUAUAGUUUAAGGUAAAAUGACCUCUUGUUCAACGUGAAUACUGCACGCUCAAGCUGUGAUUAUGUCCAUGUGGACAUAAAAAAGAGGUCUUACCAGGUAAACCAGGCUUGAGAUCUGUAGUUAAUUGAACUGGAACAAUUCCAUUCUCUGAUUUUGUUCCCACAAUUGCUCUUGAAUCACCAAGAUUCCCAACAAUAAGAUAAUCGCCCUGUAAAAAUCUUUACCAAGUCAAAACUCCAGAGACUUGCAAACACAAAUUACAUAUUCGAUGUUCUAUUCCUUCAUGCUUUUUUAGCCUCAUACCUGCCUUACAACAACAACAGCAGUAGUUCCACUGCAAGAGCAAUCCACGUUCUCAAGAAGCUUGAUUUCCUUGUCCAUCACCUUGAAGGCACUCAGAAAAGCGUCUUUCCAUUUAUUAAACCUUUUGCUGAAUUGUACUUCACCGUUCACUUUCUCAUUAUAUUUUGGAGGACUGAUGACCUUUGCCAUUGCAUUCAUCUGGUUCAGAAGCAACGAUGGCAACCGGUUCCUCACCAUCUUGCUGACCUUAUGACCAUAAUAUCCAUGUCCAUCAAAGACUCCACAGAAAGCUCCAUCUUCCAUUCCAUAGCCCUGUCAAAAUAGGUCCCGUUCCUUGGUACCAUUACCUAACAAAAAAACACAUGCAGAGCAUACAGUAACAAUAAUGACCAUCUUGAUUCUUACCUGAUAGAGAAUUGCAGCAUCUUGGUUUAGACCUUUGCUUCCUUGAUGAGAAUGAAUGGAGCCAACUCUCACCUGGGAUUCAUCUGAAUAAUUAGUAUCUUCAUGGUAGACCACAUUUUCUUGAGCACUUUCAGCAUUCAGAAUCUCUGAAGAUGCUGUGGAGAUGCAAGAACCCAUGUCGAGUCAAGUCAACUGCUGGUGUAUUUCUUAUGGUGCAUAUGCUUUUUGGAAUCCAGGAACUGGUAAUAUAGUCUGUUUAUAUAUGCGGUUUGGGAACCUUUGAAGUCUACAUUCGCUUAAUCUAUAUUACUUGUGAGACUAUGGGUGGCUCCUAGCACGCUUGGAAACGCACUAAGGUUCAAUUAUCCAUGGUUUUUUUUUUUUAUUCUGUUUUGAGUGUUAUCAAGACUACCCCAAGAUUCAAUUGAAGGGGCCUCUGAGGUGUACCCGUGUAGGAUUAAGCCGCUCAAAUAUUAUAAUUAAGUCAUUGGCUGGUUUUUCCUCUACUUCUUUCCAAUAAAAAAGGUGCUGGAUCAGAGGUCCUAUUGUUGAUAAGCAACCAAGAAAGUCCUCCACUUACUAAUAAAUUUGCUUCAUUUGACAUAACAGUUAUCACCAUCUAUUGAUUGCAAGUAUAACCAACUAAAUUUUCAAAAGGAAAUCUCUUUCUUCCUGUAAGGAUAUGUGAAUAGCUUAACUUGUUGGGAAUAGUCUAAUGAAUGGGAAGGGCAAUCAGAGUGAAAAGUCUUAAAUGUCAGUUCUUUAUAAUUUUCUUAAAAAAAAGAAAACAUUCAACUUCUAAUUAAGUUCCGUAUUUAAAAUAGUUCCCGACAAAUAUAACAAGGGUUUGUAUGAGCGCUCGUUAGAAAAAUCCAUACAAUAAUCAUAUAGAAGUGUUCGUAAGAGGUUCUAUUAUUUUUCAUCCGGUUGCUACUAUGUUUCCUUUUCUCGCAAACAGAAAUUUAGUACACAUUUUCCUUUCCUUUGUUGGGAUGGAAUGAGUGAAUGACAACUCAACUUGGGUAGGUUUUUGUCAUUUUAAAGCCGUGGCUGAUCUAAUUAGCACUUUUGUCAUACAGUCCUAUUAGAUGGUUGACCUUGGCCAACUUGAUGCACUUUACAGGGUGAAAGAUUCAAUUAGAUGGCAAAGCCAACAAGGUAAGAACCCCCUUUACUUCAGUAGGUUGAAGAAGUGUAAGGAGAAAGUCGAAUCAGUGGGUCAACCAUUUGGGAGACACUAGGCUCUUCACCACAUGACAUCAAUCACCAUGAUUAUAUGAAUCAUUAAGUUAAUGACAAGAUAGCUGUUAAAUCAAUGGUCUCUUGAUUUGGACUUUUUACUUGAAAAGCUUAUUAAUAAUACGUGGUUUCACAUCGUUGAAGGUGCCAAAUGACCUGGAAGAAAGCAGAUGUGGAAGGACACGACUUUCUUGAAUCUCAAAGACCCUACAUGAUGCAGAUCAAUAACUGCCACACUUUAGAAUUUCCAAACUCCAUCUACUUAUUGUGUGGUGUCAAUAAUAGCAAUCUAAACAGUGUUUUGGUCUUGAACUCCAAGCACGGCUUUGUAAAAUUUCCAAGCCAUUGUAUAAAUUUGACAUAUUCCUUUACAAAACAAGAUAUAAAAGACUUAGUCUUUCACACGCAAGUUCUUUCUUUCUUUUUCUGGAAAAAAUGUGAGAUCUUGAAUUCAAACCUCCUCCCCUGCAGACAAACGCAAGUUUGGCUAACGGGUUCUUAAGAAUAUUCUCAUUUUUGGUAAAUCUCUACGUUCGAAAAAUACAAGAAUGGUCAGUUUCUUAUGAAACGUGACUCCGUUUGGAUUAGCUGUUUUUUGAGGUGUGAUCAGCAAGUUCUCUUUUAGAUUCUCGUAGGACAUGUGACCAGCAAGUCUUGAUCUCCCAAGUGUCUCAAAACACUCCAGCAGGAAAUGUGAAUGUACAAAAUCUUGAUCAAAACCUUAAACUAUAAUCUUCAAACAAUUUUCAAUAGUUGCUUGUUUAGAUCAUUGCAGGCUUUAUCUGGCUGGCUGGCUGGCCAGUGGAUGGUUGUGGCUUGAGGGAGAGUCUUUUGCUUUUGUCAAAGUUUAAGUAAGAUUAGGACGAACUCUAACAUAUAAUAAAAAAGCAAUCAGCCUUAAAAGUCAAUUGAUUCCUCGAACAAACAGAAAACUUUAACUUGACAAGUAAGGACAAUGGUGCUAAAAUAUAUUGAUACCCAAUUCAGUUGAGGUCACAAGGCGCAUUCUUCAAUGUAUACCAACCUAAUCCAGAGUAUCUGCAACCAUCCAAGAAUUCUAAAGCUCUUAAUCAGAAAAUUGGGAAACGGAUAGAGUUGGAAGUUCUCAAACUAAACAAAAAAAAAAAAACAGAAAGAAAAGAUAAUUCCUGAUAGAGGGAGUAUGAAAUAGCUAAUCCAAUUGAAGUUUGAAUUAGUAGUUCCGAAUUAUUGAUUGUAGAAUUUUCUACUAUUAGGCAAUGAAUCUGACCCAUAGAACAAGAUCAAUGUCUCAGGAAAAAAGAACUCUCCAACAUAAACGACUUAAGGCAUGUGGGCGACGCUUGCCACUGAACGUUGAUAUUACCAUCUGAUGAGAAGAAUAAUUUAUGGAUGGCCAGCUAUGUUCCAAACCCAGGCACAAAAUUAGCCAAAAACAAUAAGAAUGUUUUGGAUGAGAUAGUUCUAGUUCUCUGUCUCAUUUUCUGAAUUAUUGUUUGUUUUGAAGGAAUAGGAGGGAAAGGAGAGGAAAAAAAGAAAUUAUUGUAUCAGAAUAAUUUGGUUCUUCCAGUUAUACUUGUCACAUGGAAUGAUCAAACUGCAAUUAUUUGUGCAGAAUGGUUCCCUUGGAAUUGUAUCGAAAUAAUCUUGGACAGCAGCUAUGCUUGAAAUCCAGUCAGAUGGGAUGAUCAUGACCCCUUUCGCUCACAAGAAGGCAACAAAUGUAUACAGGAAAAGGGCCACAAUGCAUACUUAUUAACAAGCUCGUCCCUCAUAGAUAUGGUAAUCCAAACUACAAUAACUUCAUUGCCAUAAUAAUAGAUCAAGUCUAGAAUUUGAAAUAUGGAAAAUGAUAGGAAACUUUACAUGCUUUGCAUUACAGACGUGUGUACUAUACCACAUACGGGGAAGAAAAAAAGUUCAAUGAACAAAUGAUUAGAGACUACAUAGAAUUACAGAUCAUGCUAAGCCAAUUCAAGGAUGCCUAAAAGCAGGUAUGGCACCCAUGACACAUAUUUCGCGUUUU